AGGAUGUGAAGUUUGCAGAAUGCAGUUCCUGAUUGUCUGGGGUGUGAACACUCCCAGCUCCACUCAGCUGAGGAGAACAAACAGCUCUUCCUGCAUCCAAAAGCAUAAGCAUUUAUUGGUCCAGAUAAAGCACAGAGAAGAAAUAUUGUUCAGGGUGUACUAUAAGUCAUCACCAUGUCUCUGCAGCCACAGAGGUGACAUAGUGCUGAUUUAAAUAACACUCUUCAGUGGAUGGAACUUGGAGCUGAACAGCUGCAUGUGCAGAAUCCUCCUUAGUGGGACUGCAACACAUGUGAAAGGUAAGAAAGACACCUCAAGUUGUGUCUAGUCCUGCUACAACCCUCUUAGAUUUUGACUGACAAAAUUCAGAGCAUUUUCAAUCCCCUUAAAACCCAUCUCAAGCAACUCCCUUUGGACAAGAUGAUCUCCCUCUGGAGGUGUGAAUUUUCCACCACUGUUUGUACAAGAAAACUCAGGUGAAUAGCUCAGACCCAAAAGUCUCUUACACAUUCAUGUACCCUCACUUUCAGCCUCUUUCUCCAUUUCCUUAAAUGAGGAACAUUUGCCUGAUAAAAGAGUAAACUGCUGGGAAUAUUUAUUUA